AUGGAACAUUUGGUGCAUCACAAUGGAAGGCAUGGCCAGAGCCGGUCCAAGGCUUUUGCUAACCAGGUGCGAAGACAGUUGGAAGAAAGAAGCAGAGAGAGACACACACAGGGAUUUUGUAAUGUGCUGUUGCUUCAUGAGCUGCUAGAAGGAAUUUAUCCACAUGGACAAAGGAAAAACUAUUUUAAAUCUCUCAUAAAAGGACACUGUGAGUUGGUGCAAUUGAGCACACUGUACAUAUGUUGUUCUGGAUUCAAGAAUAAUAAACCACUUGUUCUUUAUUGUUCACCUGCGUGGCACAUAUCUUCUUUAUCUGGCAAGGCAGUGCAUGGACUACACGUUUUUAUUUUAUUUUAUUUUUCAUUGUGUCACAUGUUGUUCAUACCCACCACUUCACUCUCCAUUGCUCUGAGUUGUUCCUAUAAAAGUCGGCUUCAUCAGAUUACGCUGGGAAGUGUUCAGAAGUUUUCAGAAGAAGAGAGUUCAGUUUAACUCCAUUCCAUAAUAAAAAGGAGUUUUUCCCUACCUUGGGAUCACACUGUUUAAUGCACUCAGUUUUCUUGCAUAUUUUUCAAAGGCUGGUGAAAGCCAUGAAUACAUUCCUAUUUCACACUGUUCCCAUCACUGGCCUUCGUGAAAUGGGUCCCUUCUAUUUCUGUGCUGGCAUACCAUGGGUGAAGAAACAUGAAAGGGUGGCAUUCUUUCUCCCUCUCUUUCCGGCCCCUUCUCCGCUGCCAUAUAAAAUCCAGAUUAUCUGAUUAUCUGCUCUGAACUGGAUUAUAUGGCAGUGUAGACUCAGAUGAUCUGCUUUGAUAAUCUGGAUUAUAUGGCAGUGUACAAAGGGCCUCCCUUGCUAUUCCCAGGCCGGUUGUUUUCUUUUGAUUUUUGUUUUUGCUUUUAGAUGAAACAGUGAAAUUGCACUAAAUAUAUAUAAAAAAACAAUGUAAGGAACAGCACUAGUGUGGAAAGAUGGGCUAACAGUUUUGUAGAUGUCAAGUUGUAGGGCUAUGAAUUGGCGAAUUGGCACAAUUGCACUAAUGAAGAGAGGUGUGAUGUAGAGGAUGUUCAACAUGGUAUGUAUCUGCUAUCAAUGAUAACACAACUGUAGGGGAAUAGCAGGUUCAUAUGAUAAAAACCAUAAAUCUUAUCUUUUAAAAAAACAUGCUGGAGGCAACUGAUGAGGCUUACAUUCCCCCCCCUUUUUUUUUUGCUCACAUAUGCUCAAUGAGCUAGGGCAGUGGUUCUCAACCUGUGGGUCCCCAGAUGUUUUGGCCUUCAGCUCCCAGAAAUUCUAACAGCUUGUAAACUGGCUGGGAUUGCUGGGAGUUGUAGGCAAAAACACCCAUGGAUCCACAGGUUGAAACCACCGAUCUAGGGGCUGAUAGACAAACAUUCCAACUGUAAACUAGGUUUGAGUAGAACCCCAUUUUUCCCCAAUUCAGGUUUUAUUGCAUUAUUUACUGAUGCAAUCCAGCACCCAAAAUCCAGCCCAUUUUCCCCAAUCCAGCCCAUUUCCCAAUGUUAUACUGAAAAAAAUGACUUUAUUAACAGAGAUAUUGUAGUUAUGUUGUGUGAAAAUGCCCCAAUCCCUUCCAGAAUUUAUUUUUGAGUGGUACUGAUGCCAAAAUUUGGAGGAUUUCCAGCUGCCCUGAGCGCCCCCCCCCCCCUCGGGGGUGAGAAGGGCAGGAUAGAAAUGCUGUAAUUAAUAAAUAAAUAAAUAUUUUCCCCAGAAAGCCGAGGUGAGGUCGAGAUCAAAGAAUUUGGGGGUCUCUUCUAGUGGAGGAGAUCCGCGCAAAGCCAGCAAGGAUUGUGCAACACCUGGUGAGCCUUCCGAGAAGCAAAUCAGAAUUUCCCUGUCAAAGAAUACUAUCUCACCCAAGUCUUGUGAAGCAGAGAGCACUGAUAUAGGUAUAGGAUGUCCAGCUGGUAUAGGAUGAUGGUCGCAAUAUGAUGCAGAAAUAAACUGGCAUACAUUUACAAUGAAAACAGCACUUUUUAUACAUUUCUAGUUUUGAAUUUCCCUCCUCCCGCCCACCAUCCGGCUCUGUACUGAUUGGCUUUGACGU
rnacentral:lncRNA from 1 species